AGCACCGUCUCAAAAAAGUACCGAAAUAUAUAUAUUUUAAAUAAUAAGUUGAAGCCUUGCCAACAGAAUGGAAACUUUUAUGACUCUUUGCUUAAAUUGUACUGGAAUGAAAUAUGACAAUUUUAAAGAUUUUCAUGGUUUUUCUUACAGAAAAACAUUUCACCACUCAUCCGUCUGAAGUUGAAAUCUGCCUUCAAACACUUCUUUGUAAUACCACAUUGUGGUUCAUCUUGUCUCAUCCUGUCAACACACAUCAGGUUUCCUGAGUUUUGCUGAGGGGCAGCAGUCUCAGGAGAGAACCCCAGAUUCCCUCUUCCCAGACACUUCCUCCAGCUCCUCCGGGGGAUUCUGAGGGGCUCCCAGGCCAGCCAAAUGACAUAGUUCCUCCAGCGUGUCCUGGGUCUUCCUCCAGGUCUCCUCCUGGUGGGACAUGCCUGGGAUACCUCACUAGGUAGGCGUCCAGGAGGCAUCCGAAACAGAUGCCAGAGCUACCUCAGCUGAUGUCAUACCUGCCAACAUUUGUAUCUAAAAUUCUGGGAGAAUGGGGAGUGGGGUUGGGGGAUGUUUGUCUGAAUAA